GCCACAGCAGUGACAAUACUGAAUCCUUAACCCACUGAGCUACCAGGGUUACCGGUCAGUUCAGAAAUCUUUCAGCUCAUGAGGACUGCACCUUAAUUUUAUUCUUAGAAGAGUUGGCAUGACACAGGAUUGAGGAAAUUUAGCAGGCAGGUACUCGGAGCAGCUGGAGAAAGGCUCCCAUGGCCAGACAUCUGCAUCAGCAAGCUCACCGUGGGCCUCCCAGC